ensembl:lncRNA
CGUCCCUUGGCAGCUCUGUGGAAUGUCUGUUUAUGCGACUUGUAGUUAAUUUGCAAGUAGGUCGAGAGAGCUAGUUCCGUGCGGUCAGGACCACAGAUGUGACUAAACUGCCCAAGGCCACCACCAGAGCUCCGAGCAGAAACUUCCAAGAAAUUCCCUGAAAGAGGGCCAGGCAGCCAAUGCAGGCUUGAUUCCAGUCAUGUCACCCCUUUGCUUCUCUCUUAUCGUGUCUUGAGAUGUCUUGCACAGCUGG